rnacentral:rRNA from 1 species
GAUUCUGGCUCAGAACGAACGCUGGUGGCGUGCUUAUACAUGCAAGUCGAGCGAGGCAGCAAUGCCGAGCGGCGAACGGGUGAGUAACGCGUAAGCAAUCUGCCCCAUAUCAGGAAAUACCCGUGCCAACGCGCGGUUAAUGUCCAGGAGAGUGGCCUUCCGCAUGGAAGGUUGACUAGAGAUUUAUCGGUAUGGGAUGAGCUUGCGUCCGAUUAGCUAGUUGGCGGGGCAACGGCCCACCAAGGCGACGAUCGGUAGCCGGCCUGAGAGGGUGAUCGGCCACAUUGGGACUGAGAUACGGCCCAGACUCCUACGGGAGGCAGCAGUAGGGAAUAUUGCACAAUGGGGGAAACCCUGAUGCAGCAACGCCACGUGUGGGAAGAAGCAUUUCGGUGUGUAAACCACUGUCAUGAGGAAUAGCCGCUCCGACGGACCUUGAUGUACCUUGAGAGGAAGCACCGGCAAACUUCGUGCCAGCCGCGGC